UACGGAGGGGGCGAGCGUUGUCCGAAGUUACUGGGCGUAAAGCGCGCGUAGGCGGGUGGGUAAGUCCGCUGUGAAAGCCCGGAGCCUAACUCCGGAGGGUCGGUGGAUACUGCCCAUCUUGAAGGUGCUAGGGGGAGAUGGAAUUACCGGUGUAGCGGUGAAAUGCGUAGAGAUCGGUAGGAACACCAGUGGCGAAGGCGGUCUCCUGGAGCAUACUUGACGCUGAGGAGCGAAAGCCAGGGGAGCAAACGGG
rnacentral:rRNA from 1 species